rnacentral:rRNA from 1 species
GUCGAGCGAGCGGAACCACAGAUUUACUUCGGUAAUGACGUUGGGAAAGCGAGCGGCGGAUGGGUGAGUAACACGUGGGGAACCUGCCCCUAAGUCUGGGAUACCAUUUGGAAACAGGUGCUAAUACCGGAUAAUAAAGCGGAUCGCAUGAUCAGCUUUUGAAAGGCGGCGUAAGCUGUCGCUAAGGGAUGGCCCCGCGGUGCAUUAGCUAGUUGGUAAGGUAACGGCUUACCAAGGCGACGAUGCAUAGCCGAGUUGAGAGACUGAUCGGCCACAUUGGGACUGAGACACGGCCCAAACUCCUACGGGAGGCAGCAGUAGGGAAUCUUCCACAAUGGACGCAAGUCUGAUGGAGCAACGCCGCGUGAGUGAAGAAGGUUUUCGGAUCGUAAAGCUCUGUUGUUGGUGAAGAAGGAUAGAGGUAGUAACUGGCCUUUAUUUGACGGUAAUCAACCAGAAAGUCACGGCUAACUACGUGCCAGCAGCCGCGGUAAUACGUAGGUGGCAAGCGUUGUCCGGAUUUAUUGGGCGUAAAGCGAGCGCAGGCGGAAAAAUAAGUCUAAUGUGAAAGCCCUCGGCUUAACCGAGGAACUGCAUCGGAAACUGUUUUUCUUGAGUGCAGAAGAGGAGAGUGGAACUCCAUGUGUAGCGGUGGAAUGCGUAGAUAUAUGGAAGAACACCAGUGGCGAAGGCGGCUCUCUGGUCUGCAACUGACGCUGAGGCUCGAAAGCAUGGGUAGCGAACAGGAUUAGAUACCCUGGUAGUCCAUGCCGUAAACGAUGAGUGCUAAGUGUUGGGAGGUUUCCGCCUCUC